rnacentral:lncRNA from 1 species
UCGUAACACUCGAGGCGAACUCAGUUUCGUCCUCUGCUCGUAUCUUCUGACAUCAUAACAUCGAAGAUAAUCCAUGGGCUAAGAUAAAAGAAAUCGGUUAGGAACCUUCUUACUAAGAAUGCUCUUCCUAUCUUAGUACUAUUCUGUCACUCCUCAUUACUACACUCCAACAAUCUCAAUCUCAUAAGUAUAGCACUACUCAUUAAUCCUACUCUCGACUUGUCGCUCAUAUAGAACUAAACUACAUCAACAUACAAACACAUAGAUAUGCAUACACAUAAGCAAUAUAAAUCCCAAAUUAGUCCUUGGAAAAACUAAUCAAGUUUAAUAACAUCUUUGCAAUCAUACUUAAAAACUUUUUGUUAAAAAAAAUCGGAAAAUAUUUUUAGUUGGGGAAAAAUUGCCAAAAUUUAAUUUAGAAAGUUAAAGACACAUAAUAACACAUUCUUAAAUCCUUUAUCCAAUAAUAAUUCACAUUAACAAGUUAUUCCACUUUAUAACAUUCUUGACAAACUAAACUCUAGAUUUCUUUGUUGAAAAAUUACUACAAAAUUACAUGUUAAGCUCACAUAAUACACAACAGCACAAAUAUGUGAUCAAACGACUCUAGAAAAAUCAAACUCGGCUUCCCCUUUUUCUCAUCACAUUCGAUCAAGAUCUAAAUCCUUACGAGUUGGUUCGUUUCGUCUCAAAUCGCAUACAUAAGCUCAAUUAAUCAUCAAAUAGUCAUAUAUAAUCAUAUUCAACACAUAACUCUUCACAUAUGAAAGAUCUCAUACAAACGCGCAAACUAAACUCGGUGAACUUUCACAUUUCAUUAAUAUUUAUCAAUUUAAUCAUGCUAUAAUUCUUCAUAUAGUCCAAUUAGCAUAUAGACAUCAUUAAUCCAAACAUUGACCUCAUAAAUCAAAAAUACCCAAUUCCUAGUAAACUAAACUCAAGCAAGUUUAUACAUAUUCAUCAAUUAAUCAAAUUGAUCAUUAAUAAAUAGUCUUAUCAUGCUUAUAAUCAAUUAACCUUAGCCAAUUUAAUCAUUAAACACAUAAAUUAAAAAGUCCCAAUUUUAAGUAAACUAAACAUUUUGAAAAUCUUAAACCAUGCAUGAAUCAUCAAUAAAACUUUAGAUCUAUCAAAUUAGCCCACUUAAUUACAUAUAUAAACCAUCAAUUAGCAAAUUGAAGCAUAUAAGCAAAUUUGCCCAAAUUCUAUCAACUAACUCACAUCAAAACUUCACCAAUCGAUCUCAAUCAUCAAUCCAAUCCAUUAAAUAUCAUAUUAGCAUCCUCAAUAACACAUAUCAAUAACCAAUUCAUCAUUAAUCACAAGAUCAAAAAUUCCACAAAAUAGGUAAACUAAACUAACUCAAAUUCCACAAUUCAUUUUAAAUCCUUUCUUCGCAUUUAGAAAUAGACUCAAUAGGAUCCUAAUUGCUUAAAUAUUACCUCAAUUUAAGAAAAGAAAAGGAUUUUUUUUAAAGGGCAUGAACCCUAAUUUUUGAAAAUUUGAAAAAUAAAAGAGAUGGUGUUUUUCUUGUUUGAUUCAUCAAUACACACACAUAUACAACACCAUAAGGUCUAGAUCUAAGUAGAUUCAUCACUUACUCAAAAACUUCAAUAAAAGUAGAGACUUUCUUGACUCAACUCUUGGAACUCCUUCAAUCCUUGCUCUUGAUUAAAGGGAAAUGAUGUUUAGACUAGAUUUUAGUGAAGAUCUUUGGUGUAGAAUUGAUCUUAGAAGCUUGGAAAUGAUCUUCAAUGGUGGUAGUGAG